AGAGAUGGAUUGGUGGCCUUCGGGAACGUCUGACACAGGUGCUGCAUGGCUGUCGUCAGCUCGUGCGUGAGAUGUUGGUUAAGUCCGUAACGAGCGCAACCCUUGUCCUUAGUUACCAGCACGUUAUGGUGGGCACUCUAAGGAGACUGCCGGUGACAAACCGGAGGAAGGUGGGGAUGACGUCAAGUCAUCAUGGCCCUUACGGCCUGGGCUACACACGUGCUACAAUGGUCGGUACAAAGGGUUGCCAAGCCGCGAGGUGGAGCUAAUCCCAUAAAACCGAUCGUAGUCCGGAUCGCAGUCUGCAACUCGACUGCGUGAAGUCGGAAUCGCUAGUAAUCGUGAAUCAGAAUGUCACGGUGAAUACGUUCCCGGGCCUU
rnacentral:rRNA from 1 species